GCUUACAUAGAUGCAUUGAGAUCGGAAAGCCUCGAGCGUGUGCAACCCAGCUCUCUUACAAUCCAACACAGGCCUGGCUAGAAGGUGUGCAAUAUCCAAGCUUUCCAUCAGGUGGUUCCCCACUUCUUGAUGCCACGGUCCAAAAAUCAGGCAAGUCCAUUCCAUAUGCUUAUUCAAAGUGGAAGUAACUAUAUAGAGUGUAGGCUUAGGGGUCCACAAUGCUUACAUGGAUGCAUGAUCAAAGCUGCUCAUCAGGUACAAGCCACUAUAUGGCUUUCCUUGUGCUGAAUUCAAGUCCAUCCAUAUUGAGUUGCAUGCUAGUUAAUGCUUCUGUAAAAAGGCUCAUAUUGAGUUGCAUGCUAUGAUGCUUAUGAUGCAGUUUUAUCCUUGAAGAAAAAGGGAAGAAAAAUCUGUCCACAUAUUUAUAUAUAAAAAAAAAAAAAUCCAUAGCUAUUCUCCUCCAUCUACUAGUUACAAGUGGAGCAUUGGUAACAGACGGGGGCUUUGCUGCUUCAUAUGGGGAUGGAUAUGGACUUCAUUCGGGUGGUGCUGACAAAGGUCCUCUAUAUGGCAUGAGUUCUGGUUCUUGGGGUGCAUUUGAGAAGUCUCACCUUGGGUGUCGUUGAAGUCCGUUGAUUUUUUUAUUUCCUUUUGCUUUUCCUUGUAUCUCAAUUUGUAAAUUUUCUGUCCAUUAUGUAACCUUUCAUUCUCAGGCCCCCUGUAAAUGAGGCUGGUUGUAAAUGAUUUACAGGUUGUGUUUGAAUGCUAAUUUAAGUCUGUAAAGGUCUUUUGAUUUAGAAGAUUCAGCCUAGUAGAA